rnacentral:rRNA from 1 species
UACGAGGGGGGCAAGCGUUGUUCGGAAUUAUUGGGCGUAAAGGGCGCGUAGGCGGUUUGACAAGUCUGAUGUGAAAUCUCUGGGCUCAACCCAGAGUCUGCAUUAGAAACUGUCGGGCUUGAGUAUGGGAGAGGUGAGUGGAAUUUCCGGUGUAGCGGUGAAAUGCGUAGAUAUCGGAAGGAACACCUGUGGCGAAGGCGGGUCUCUGGGCCGAUACUGACGCUGAGGAGCGAAAGCGUGGGGAGCGACAGG